CGUAGGGUGCGAGCGUUAAUCGGAAUUACUGGGCGUGAAGUGUGCGCAGGCGGCGGAGCAAGUCGAGUGUGAAAGCCCCGGGCUUAACUUGGGAAUUGCGCUCGAAACUACUUUGCUGGAGUGUGGCAGAGGAAGGUGGAAUUCCACGUGUAGCGGUGAAAUGCGUAGAGAUGUGGAGGAACACCAAUGGCGAAGGCAGCCUUCUGGGCCAACACUGACGCUCAUGCACGAAAGCGUGGGGAGCAAACAGGACUAGAUACCCUGGUAGUCCACGCCCUAAACGAUGACGACUAGUUGUUGGAGGAGUUAAAUCCUUUAGUAACGCAGCUAACGCGCGAAGUCGUCCGCCUGGGGAGUACGGUCGCAAGAUUA
rnacentral:rRNA from 1 species